AUCUAAUGCUGGGCUCCCUCUCCCAACUGAGGAAACUGAGACUUACUAUGUUUAAAGGACACAUCAUUCACAUGGAUAUGAUUCCAUUUGAGUUUAAAGGGUGAGAUUAACAAGACAAUGACUUGUCAUUUAACGGCCAUCAGCAUCCUCUGAAUUCUGAAUUGUGGGGCACUGGAAGACAUUCCAAGUUCUUGUUUGGCUGCUUCGCUCUUUGAAACUUGUUGAAAAUACGUAAAAAAUAUUCUAUCUGAAAAAUUUAUAUUUACGACUAUUUCUUUUUCUGUGUUUUCUUGAGCAAGCUGACCUUCCUGAAGAGCUGCUAAAGGAUUUCUCUUCAUCACUGAAGUGGAGCCCAGCAACUAGUAUAUCUGAUAAACUGCAAGACACAGAUUUAGGAUUCUCGAAGCUACUGUCAGCAUAGACACAGCCUCGGUUUUUCCAUCUGCAAAAUGCCAAUAAUUACGCCUGCUGCUGCCAGAAUGAUCUUGAAGAAUAAUGAGAAAAUGCCUAUAAGAACACUUAGAGUAACUCAGAAUAAACCUGUCAGAGAAAUGCCAAGAAUUAUUACCCUGCUAUUUUUGUAAGUGUGUGUGGUUUUUGCUGCUUUCCUAACAUAGCAAAGAAAAAGUAUAACUCCUAGAUUAAAAUAAUCCCUAUCAAAAAAAAAAAAAAGGGAGAAAAGGAAAAGUCCUACCCACCACAAACGUGCUAGGGCACCAACCAAGGUGAUAAUUAUGUUAGCAUGGUUUGGGAGAGGAAUCCCAUAUUUUGCAUGAUAUUUUACAUUACUAUCUCCACAGUCUGGAGGCAGAAUUCCUAAAAUCCAAAUUCAUACUGUGUCAUUGGGAGAGUUCUAGUAACAUAUCAAAAACUUCACUAUGGGUGACAGAUGGUAGGUAGACAUACUGUGGUGAUCAUUUCACAGUGUAUACAAAUAUCAGAUCAUUAUGUUGUACACCUGAAACUGAUAGAGUGUUCCAUGUCAAUGAUACCUCAGUGGGGGAAAAAAAAAGAAAUAAAAGUUAGGGAUCUUAAAAAAAACAACCCCCAAAAUUCCACUAUGAAUGACUUUUCGGUAAAGGGUGGCCUCCAGGAGAACACGAAAUGCUUUUUGUUUCAUAUAGGACCGAUAUUAAUAUAAAGUAGUUAUAGAAAAAUCAAAAUCUGUCAUGUUAAAAAUAACGGGCCCACCCAUCUGCCAAGUUACAAAACUUAUUUUUGAACAUCAUCACUUAAUUUGCAGACGUUUAAGACAACAGUGAUUAACAAUGAUCAUUAUCAUUACCAUUUUAAAAUUAAGUUGAAAAUGUGGUUUAUGAGAAAGAAAGCCUGAAAUAAAAGCUAGAGCCAAGAUAAACACUAAAAUUUCUGUUCUGGGUUUAAGUGGGGGAAAGAUUACACUAACUGCCUUUUGAGAAAAUUAUUUUCUCUUUCAUCAUUUAAGAAAAACAUGUGAAAACUUCUUAGAAGUUGAUAUACCAUUUCAGAGCACGAGAGCCACAUGGGUGUUCACUAUGAUAUUGAUAUCAUGUUACAGAUGGAAACACUUGUAAUUCACAGAAUUAAGUGGGCUAGGACCCACUUUUCGGCUCCCAAAGUGCACACAAUUGAAGGUUGCCGGACACACGGACAGUUUUUAAACAAUCCAGCAGGGGGCAGAAGUACUCAGGCACAGCAACCAGUACGGCCUAUCGCUCCUCGAUACAAUCAUUUCAUCAGCAAUAAUCAGGUCACUGCAUAAAGGAUGUUAUCCAUUCUUGCUUUGGAAGUCUUUAAAUGGUUUCCAGGUGAAACAUUUUUAAGUGAGGGUUCUUUCAGUGAUUUAAUAGAGCAGUCAUUAUUGGAUUGAAGUGUUAAAUACGAGUUAAGAGGCCUUCACAUUUUUACACGACUAAGUUCCAGGGUUUCAAAGGCAUUCUCAGGAAAUUGUCCUGAAAUUAUUACCCAGUCUCCAGAAACAGACUUGUCCUUUUAUGUUUUACCCCUCUGUACAUUCUUCCCUGAUUUUUUUCUCUUCAAAUAUCUAGUGACGAGGUCUAUAAAAUAAGACGCUUCUAGAAAUCCUACGAGACCUCAAGGUAAGUUUACCUACUAGUUAUUAUUUUACAAACAUGUUAUAUCUAGUGGAUUACAAUGACAAGUCCUGCUGUGCUAUCCCUGCACUGAAAUGUCACUAGUUAAGGUUGUGAUAGAACAGGAGGGAAGUCCCAGUAAGUACUGAUAUAGAAACUCACUCCACAGGUCUAUGAAUCUACUUAAGAGAAAAGCGGAAGUAAAAUAGGAAAACUAAACACUAAGAACCAUUUUCCUCACAUAACUUAUAUCUUUACUGUAAUAAAUAUUGUUAAAAGGUUGACAGUUCAUUUCAAAGUGUAACUUUUACACAAAAAAUACCACAGAAAUAGCGAUUCUACUCCCUCCCACGUUAAUUCCUGAUAUGCUACAGGAUUUAAAGAAAUGGAAAAUAAACCCAAAAAGUCCAACCAUGUGGAUUAGGACCAACAAGCUCUUUUGGAUAAAACUGUUGUUCAUCUAUAUUUACCUUCCAGUCACUAUCAUGGGAUGAAAAUUUUGACUUCCGAACUAAGAACUCAGUGGACCAUCUUCUCACAAAAGCCUAAGUUACUCUCUGAUUCUUCUUCUUCGCUUUUUUUUUUUUUUAAACAGUAGGAGGAGACUUUAUUUAUUUUGGGGACAUUAUCCCUGCUUCUAACACAGACUAAAAAGUCAAUACCAUGGUCAAUAUAUGAUGACUCUGUGUUCGUAUAUGGUGUGUGUAGGUCUGGGGUCAGGGAGGUGGGUACAAAAAGGAGGAGGGUUGACAUGCUUUGCACUUCUGCUUCUUCACUUUUAUCUGAUGUUUUAUGUCUGCCGAGCUGCAAGGGAGAACUCUGUGACUCCACAUACGGAAGCCGGGUGGUGUCAUGUCCUGGUACGUCGGACCGGUCACGGGGAAACUAGGUGCUGGGUCCUUGUCUCAUUAGCUGUGCCACCUUGGGAAGUCACCUCACAUUUAGGGGGCCUCAGUUUUCUCAUCUGUAAAACGAUCGACUGGAUGAGGAGAUCACUAAGAAUCCUUUAAACUUCGAGAUUCUGUGAUUAAUAGAAUUCAUCUUUUAGUGGAAUGAUACAGUUAAUGGACCUGAGCAGCUAAGACUAUCAGGCAUUGGCUCAGAAACUGCGAGUAAGAGCCCUAUCUAUUUGUGCACUUGGUGAAGCUGAGAACGAUGGAGAAAGAGAGAGAAUGGAUGUAAAAUAUGAGAAGAAGAUCGCUUUAAUUUGAACAGCCUUGGUUUUUUGUUUAGUGCUCUGAAUAGGAAUAGGGAAAAAAAAGGUUAGUAUUUAUUGGAAUUGCUAUUUUUAGGUCAUUCAGGGUUAAUGACAAAUCUGAACUGUCACACAUAAAAAGGCCCUACUGACAUAAACAAUUUUACACAGCAUGUGCAGAUACAAGAAACCGAGAGGCCUAACUGACCACUCUUUGCGUCUCAUGGUUCAGUCUGUCACUCAACUCUCUAAAAUAUUUGGCUUUAGAAACCUGACAGUCUUUCGCUAUCAUCCAAGCAAAGUAAACGUAUCUAGCUAGCUAGGACAAUGAUGAGCUUCAGGCUGUACUGACUGUACCUUUACAAGCAAACUAGAUGCCACCGAACAGCUUUGAGGGAUGAGGAGAAAGCACAUGACCGGAAGGGCACACGGACACGGGACUUGGAACUGUCAGGGCACGUACCUGUUGGAAUAAAAGCCGUGUGUUGCUGCAGCUGGGCGCUGGUGAGAGCCUGCUGGUAGUGCAGCACGCUGGGAUUGAACACCGUGCUGGCACCGUUGUUUUUUUCAAGUGCUUGUCUCUUUGGUAAAGGAUGAAGAGCACCGGGGGGAAAGGCCUAUGAGGAAAGAAUCGGAUAGGACAUGUAUAACUCAAAGUAACCACACCUUCCGUGUCCACAGAGAUCAUCAAGUCCAACAUUCUCUUUCAAAAUGACAGCUAAGGAGAUGCCUCUGCCAUGCACCUUAAUUUAAACAGCGGCAAUGUCGAAUGAGUGAGAAUUUGUUAUUGAGAGCGGAAGCAUGAUUUCUGUAACCCAAAACGGUAGCAUCUCAACUAAGGAAAAGAAAAACUAUCAAGCAACACCAAAAUAAAUAAAUAAAUAAAUAAUAAUAAUAAUAAUAAUAAUAAUAAUAAAAUAAAAAAUGACUUCAGCUUUUAAAACGAGUUAAACUAUUCUAAGGGGGGAAAGAAGCAUUUGUGUUAUUAUUAAUACCUAUUCUCUUCGUUAACUAAACGGCAAUUUCUUGGAUUUAAAGGUUAAUAAGAAUUAUAAUGCACAUUUUUCCGAGGCAAGUAAUUUAAAUUUGCUUCACUCUUUUGGAAAAGGUAUUAAAAUUUGUUAGGAUUAAUUUAUUUCACAUAUUACGUAUGAAAAUGAGAUGGCUAAACACCUUAUUUUUUUUCCAUUAAUUAAUAAUAAUGAUCAUUUGCAACCAAUUUUUACAAGUAAUACAAAUCUCAGAUGGUUCUCUGAAAAGCUACAUGCAAAGCGAAAGGUGAAAGGUCAAAGUACCAGGUCUACAGAUGCUUCGAGAGGUCGCUUCAUUGCUUUGGCAGUCGACUGAGUCUUUUAAUAACAGGCAGCGAGCACAUGAUGGCAGUGGGCCAAUGGGAUUCAAGCGAAUUAACAUACAGGUAAACAGCAAGCAGAGGUGCAUCAUGGGAACGGCAUUGCAUUGUGGAUAGGUGAGAAGGAAAAAAAUAUUCUGAAUGCAAUAUACAACGUACAAAACACUAGGCAUGCACAACAACAAAAAUGUUCUCUAAAGAAAUGAAUAUUACACCUUAAAUUAGUAUUGAAGCAAAAAUGCAUCUACUAUACCUUAGUUAAAAGCAUAUAAGAGAGUAAAAUAUAGAUGUUUGAAAUUCAGGAAAGUUAAUUAAAACAGCAGCUUGCAUACACACCAUAAGCAUUUUUUAUAUUGCUUCAGAAAAAAAAUGCAAAACUUUCAAGGGCCAUAGGAUUGAUGAACUUCUGAUAAGUUAGUUUUCAAACGUAAAAUAAUGAAUGUACUAAGUGGAAGAUCCAAGUGAAAAAAAGAUAUUAUCUUUAACGUUCAGAAAAAUAAUUGUUAAUGAAGAUCUAGCCUAACAAAAUGAAGUGGCAAACUGAGACAAAAAAUUCAGGCAAAAAAAUAUUCAAACACAAGAUUAUUUGGGCAAAACUGUUUGGGUUUGGAUCUUAAUUUUUUGUCUGAAUCAUGUGGAUAAUUGUCUCAAUUCUUCUCUUCACUCUGCUAGCAUGGAUCUGGCAACACGGAAUAAGGUUCCAAACUUAACAAGUUUUGAAUUUGAAUAGUAAGUUUCUCAAAUUUCCCACUCUCAUCCCAUUGUACUGUUUCUAAUGACUAACUUAUCAUCCAUUCUGUGUUUUCCACUACAUUUGAAAUUAUAAUUCAAUUUAUCUCAAACAACUUACCGGAUUAUGCUAAGAAAAUACCCUUUAAAAAGGUAUUUAGUGUUCUCAGGUAUCAGAAUAAUCUCUACUUAAUAAUUCUAUUUGUAAUUUCAGCUAUAAUCAGUGACCAACCCAGUUAAUGAGAAGUGGAACUCGUGGCUAGAACAAGUUACAACAGCUAAAAAGAGCAAAUAGCUAAAAAAAAAAAUAGCCAAGGACUGCUUGAAAUAUUAGAUGUAAAAUAAUAUUUUUAACUUAUAACCAUAUUGGGGGGCAGACUGUCUCAUUUAAGCAGCUGAAAUAAUAACAAAUAUUGAUCGAUUUAGACCAUGGUGAAAAAAUGUUCCUAUUCCUGGAUCAUUGCUGUAAAAAAUGGAAAAUUCUAUGAUGGAAUUCUGUGAAAAUAAAAAUAAAAUAAAAGGAGUAGCUCCAAUGCAAAUAAAAAAUGAAAUACCCCUUUUUCAAUGGGUAGCACAAUAGGUAAAUCCCUAAGGUUUGUGUAAUCAAUACAAAACGUGAUAUUCUAAAGUUCUGAGCUGGAACCAUGGCAUUUGCAAUAAUAUGAGGUACUACUAAACUCUCAAAAUGGGAAACAGUUAAUGAUAUUUUCCUCUGCAGAUAGAGGUCUUUUCAUCAUCAUUUGAUGAUUCGAGAUCAAAAGUAUAGAGGUGCCAGGAGGUAAAGACGGGCAAGGCAGGCAGAAAGAAAGUGGGUGAGGAAAGGAUUGAAGGCAGAGAAGAGAUUUAGAAUGUCCAACAGAGAAAUGUUUGGGAAGGCAGUCUUAAUAGAGGCCAUCAAAUAAUAUAAAAUGAGUGUUCUGGAAGUAGAAUUACAACAUUUUUAAAACCCAGAGAGCCUCACAAUAAGAAAGCUUCUUUGUACUGGAUAUUCUUUCUUCAGACGGAAGUUCCCCAUUAUGUAACUUCCAUGACACCACAUUAUUUAAGAUCUUCGGUUGCUGCAGAGUCUUGACACUGCUUGAUAAUGCGUUUCUUUAAGCUUAAAUUCGUCUGUGCUAACUGUAUAAGGCUGCACAGCCCGUUCUCACAAAGUGCACUGAGAACACAAACUCAGAAUCAGUUUGGUCUCAACAUUCUGGACUCAGUUCUUCUCUUCCCUUUUCCAGUCCUUGGGAGUUCCAAAGCAGGUCUACUGUUGGGUUGAUUUUGUCUGCUAUGCUAACUGGAAGAGUGAUCAUGUCUCCAAAGGAUGGCAUUUAUGAAUGAAAUUUUGAUUGAACAAAGUAUCAUUCAAUGACGUCUCCAAGUAGAAGAAGAAAUAGUAAACAUGUCUCCCUAGGAUCCUCACCUGGAAGGUUAAUGCUCUUUUUUUUCUGAUCUUAGAUUGAUGAAAGUUCAUAUCCACAGAAAUCAGAAGAACCUAGGAAUGUGAGGACACUGAGAGCUCUAAACUGAGCUGGCCAGCAUCUCCUUUUCUCCCACUGCAUACUGCUCUAAUUCCAAAGCCAGUAAGCGGUGGUUGGCAUCUCGGCCAUCAGUGACGUUCGUUAUAUGAAGGGUCACUGAUGUGACAGUCAAGCUCUGUGACAGUCAAACUUACUUGGGAAAUACAGUUUCACCGACCAGUGGCCAAGAGGGUUUGAAGGGUAAACAGAGAAGUCGCAAGAUUGCUCAUCAUUUCCUCCUGCUUUGGAUAUAAGCCAAUAUUCCGAUCUUUAGUUCAUAAAAUGUACAAAUAAAAAUUACUAAGAUGCUCCCAUCAAUUCCGAGUAAGCCUUCCUCUCUAAAUGGAAUCCUCCAGUCUGAGACCACAUCAGAGGUACAGAGCAGCCGUCAAGCAUUUACCAAGGGUUGCCAUGUGCAGGACAAGACGGCUUCAUUCCUGGCUUGAAAUGAACUGCAUGAGACCUGCUAAAGUCGUUGUAAAUUAUUUUUCUAUGUCUUUGUCUACCAGUCCUGUUGGGGAGGACAAUUUGUUCCCAACUCAGCUGAUUUAAUUUGUUUUCUAAACCACACAGUCACAAACUGAACACUCCAUGGGUCCAGCAGGUGGAGCCCCAAACACUUUUCUAGACCAUGAAAGGUCUGUUCUAUAUUCACAGGGGCAGGCUAGAUCAAAACAGCAGUGUUAGGGUCUUUAGUCUUUUCGUUUUGGGAUUCAUGUGCUCCAGAGUGAAGCUGAUACCAGGCAGCAACAUUGUAUUGCCCUCAAGAUUUAUUGGGUAAAUAUUUAAGCAAAUGCACAUUGAAAGAACAUCUUCCAGUGAUCCAACGUAAAGCACCGUGUACAUCCUAACCAUACAUAUAUCACCUAACAACUUAAAUAGGUAAUGGAAUUAAAGGAGCUCUUUAAAAAAUCUAUCAGAAUCUUUACACUACUGCAUAAAGUGCUCUAUUAAAUAUCACAGGAUAUAGUAGCUAAGAUAAAUCCUCUUACUCUGAUUAAAGAGAAAUUUUACCCAGUAAGGGUUGGCUUGACUCAUGACUUAAGAAUCAUCUUCUAUAAUUAUAUGAACGUGUUUUCUUGACUUUUACCAAACACUUGAACUUAAGUUAAAGAAAAUAUCUCAAUCAAUACUUAAUAUGCCCAGCUUCCAGUUCCCCUGUUUACCAACAGUACAACCAGGGCUGAUAUUCUGGAACGUUCCAAUAUAAUCAUAUUAGCUCUUAAAAUAUUGAAAUGUGAUCAUACCAAAUGGUCAAUAGUCAUAGUUCCACUUACCCCUACCCCUGUCCCCAGGUGUUUCAAAUUCUUCUGAUUUGGCCAUUCUCAGAUCUUUCUAGGAGCCAUGAAAGGUUAAUGCCAGCACAGCUGGAGGCCUUCAGGAGCCAUCUCUAUGGCCUACACAGUGAUUGAUUCAGUGUUCCACUGGUUGUUAAAUAUUUUGCCCCUGAACACACAUUCCAAACAGCUGAAUUUUGUUUGUGCUAAACUAAUUCUUUCCCUACAGACUAAUUUCCUUUAUAACUUUGCCUUAAAUUGAAACCACAGAAUUAUGAAUGCAGGGCUUUUAGAUGAAUGUGUGUGUGUGUGUGUGUGUGUGUGCGUGCACAUGGCUGUUUUGCAAGACUAAAUUAAUAUCUUAUAAGCAUUCACUUACACAGAAGUACACUUCUACCCCAGAUGCAUCUCAAACCACAAAUAUAAUGAAGUACCUCCAGUUUGUCAGUCCUGAGAAGUUUCUGAGUUGCAGUUGAGCCCGGGACAGUGACGGGUGGACUUCCGGGAACAAUAACGGGUGUGGUGGGUAGAAUUUCCGUUGGGACUAACCCAACUCCAGGGGUUACAGGUGCUAAGUAAGGAGCAAAGCUAAUCGCCGUAUUUGUCCCUAUUGCGGGACCUACAGGAAAAGUGGGCUGUUAAAGGAAGACAACACAGGACAAAGAUUUCUUUAGAAUAAAACUUUAAAAAAUCACCAGUAAGUGUCAUUUGAGCAAAACUUACUCACCAUACACAAGACCCUUUGUGUUACUUGCGUAAAUCGAUGCUGGCCUGUGAAAGUUCAUUAGAUUGCCUGUUUUGUUUUGCUUAAAAAAAAUAAUAUCCAUGUAUAUCCUCUCUUCCUAAAACCAUACAAAAACAUGCGAGCACAUUAUAGAAACCUAAUUACAGGGAACGGAUUAAAUUUUUAUUCCUAUGAAAGUUUUCUCAAGAAAAAACAAUAAUUCUCACUGUCAUUGCUCAUCAUUCCAAACAGUGAAUGUUAUAACAGGAAGGGGGUAAACCUAUGGAAAACUGACUCCUAAUCUUUGAUUUCUCCUCCUUGCAUCUCAAAAAAGGACAGGAGGAAAGAAAAACCUUGAUUAGAGCCUGAUUUUCAAGUUGAUCGAGUACAUACAUUCUCAAAAAUUGGGGAUUAUCUGGGACUGUAUUUGCUCUGAUUCAGCAUCAUGUUCCCACAUUCCGUCACUAGCCUGUAUGUAGUGUUCAUAUGGACCUGCUGUUUCUCGGUCCAGUUCAACUGUGUCUAGAUCUAACCUUCCCUGCCUAAAAGGUUGGAUGAGAGAACAUGAACUUUUUAAUUGGCCAAUUUUUCAACUGGCCACUAAACGUUGGUUUGGUUUCCUAGGUUAAAAUCAAUGCAACAGUGAUAAAGGCAUACCGUACUUUAUUUAAACUUCUCGAUCGCUACGCUCCUUGUCCGGAGAUAAGAAAGAACUGCGCUAGGGGGUUGAUGGGAUAAUAAUUUUUAAAAGCCCCACCUAAAAAUAUGCUUUCCAGAAAGGAAAUAAUGUAAGAGAACAAUAAAGUUUGCUUCACUUUUCUAGAACCAAUGUUAAAAGUGUAAGACGCUAAAGAUUUUUGUUAGAAUGAAUUUUACACUAAAUUGUCCCUGAAUGGUUUUAUUGGUUGGUUGGCUUUUUAGCUAGUUGGUGACUUUUACCCUCUUUAUUUUUAGGAGCAGUUUGCAGAUAUUUGCAACCACGUGUUAAUGCAGUUUUCUAAUAACCAAACUGUGCUCUCGGCCAUGUCACGCUACCCCUCUAUUUGUAUAUUGUGAGUAACAUUCUUGUUUUCUAUUUACGGCUCUGAAUGAGUUGUUGAACAUAUGGGAAAAAUAACAAUCUAUGUUUAUUAUUAAACAAAUUUUUUGUUGACAGCAAUAACGGAAAAAUACCUCUUAUGGAUGCUCAUGUUAGAAAACAGUGAGUUACUGAUAGUUUGUUCAAGGAGUUCUCAGAGGUUCUGGAGGUCUUUAGCGAAGUGGCUGGGGGCUGUGAGAGGUGAUUCUAAUGGCCUGCGAGGGCUGUUAUAGCCCUCCCACGAGGAGCUCUUAGAUCUUUAUGGCUCAGACAUCAAAUUCACUUUGGGACAGGGUUGCAACAUGAGGUCUCAACAUGGGAAAUAGAUGGCAGUUAGGAUUUUUUUUCUCCCAAAUUUUAUAUGUGUAUGUUUUCCAUUUUCAACCCAUUGAGCCAUAAUUACAGAAAGUUGCGGUUUUCAGUAACUAUAGUUUUUAUGAGUUAGCACCAUUGAAAAAAAGCCAAGUGAUUUAAAUGGUAUGACUAUCUAAUGUUAGAAUUAAAAAAAAAAUCAACUCUGAAAGGUCAUAAAUCACAACAGAUCAGGGAUUCAAAGAACCAGCUAAAUCAGAAAUGCCUGAGGGGAAUUUCAUAAAUAGAAAUAUCGCCAGACUCGAUAGGUCUAGGCAGGGACCCUGAAAUUUGCAUUUAAAAAAACUUACUAUGUGAUCUGAUGUGUGGCCCAGUUUGGGGACCACUGUCAUAGAUGGAGAGUGAAAAUAGGUAUUAAAACACUUGUACUGAAUGUGUAAUUUAACACAGAGACCAUUAUCAAAGUAAACAUUCAAAGAAAACAAACCUCCCCCACAGGCCCGUUUUUGAUUUUCUGCAGCAGCAGAUUCCCAACCCUCCCUCUUGUGGAUCAUUUGAAGCCAGGGUCAGUGUGGUGACAUAAAUACAGGUUGUACCUUGACUGUCAGUGGGAUGUCAGAACCUCAAAACUCAUUUCCUGAAACCUUUUUGGAUAUCAGUAAAUCUAUUAAAAUCAGAAAAAUUUUGCUUUCCAAAAUGUAAAUUACUUGUUCAUCUAAUUUAAUGAUCUAAAAUGAAUGUUGCAGGGGCGCCUGGGUGGCAGUCGGUUAAGCGUCCGACUUCGGCUCAGGUCGUGAUCUCACGGUUUGUGGGUUCAGGCCCUGCGUCGGGCUCUGUGCUAACAGCUCAGGCCUGGAGCCUGCUUCAGAUUCUGUGUCUCCCUCUCUCUCUGCCCCUCCCCUGCUCAUGCUCUGUCUCUCUCUCUCUCUCUCUUUC